GAUGAACGCUGGCGGCGUGCCUAAUACAUGCAAGUCGAGCGAACGGACGAGAAGCUUGCUUCUCUGAUGUUAGCGGCGGACGGGUGAGUAACACGUGGAUAACCUACCUAUAAGACUGGGAUAACUUCGGGAAACCGGAGCUAAUACCGGAUAAUAUUUUGAACCGCAUGGUUCAAAAGUGAAAGACGGUCUUGCUGUCACUUAUAGAUGGAUCCGCGCUGCAUUAGCUAGUUGGUAAGGUAACGGCUUACCAAGGCAACGAUGCAUAGCCGACCUGAGAGGGUGAUCGGCCACACUGGAACUGAGACACGGUCCAGACUCCUACGGGAGGCAGCAGUAGGGAAUCUUCCGCAAUGGGCGAAAGCCUGACGGAGCAACGCCGCGUGAGUGAUGAAGGUCUUCGGAUCGUAAAACUCUGUUAUUAGGGAAGAACAUAUGUGUAAGUAACUGUGCACAUCUUGACGGUACCUAAUCAGAAAGCCACGGCUAACUACGUGCCAGCAGCCGCGGUAAUACGUAGGUGGCAAGCGUUAUCCGGAAUUAUUGGGCGUAAAGCGCGCGUAGGCGGUUUUUUAAGUCUGAUGUGAAAGCCCACGGCUCAACCGUGGAGGGUCAUUGGAAACUGGAAAACUUGAGUGCAGAAGAGGAAAGUGGAAUUCCAUGUGUAGCGGUGAAAUGCGCAGAGAUAUGGAGGAACACCAGUGGCGAAGGCGACUUUCUGGUCUGUAACUGACGCUGAUGUGCGAAAGCGUGGGGAUCAAACAGGGUUAGAUACCCUGGUAGUCCACGCCGUAAACGAUGAGUGCUAAGUGUUAGGGGGUUUCCGCCCCUUAGUGCUGCAGCUAACGCAUUAAGCACUCCGCCUGGGGAGUACGACCGCAAGGUUGAAACUCAAAGGAAUUGACGGGGACCCGCACAAGCGGUGGAGCAUGUGGUUUAAUUCGAAGCAACGCGAAGAACCUUACCAAAUCUUGACAUCCUUUGACAACUCUAGAGAUAGAGCCUUCCCCUUCGGGGGACAAAGUGACAGGUGGUGCAUGGUUGUCGUCAGCUCGUGUCGUGAGAUGUUGGGUUAAGUCCCGCAACGAGCGCAACCCUUAAGCUUAGUUGCCAUCAUUAAGUUGGGCACUCUAAGUUGACUGCCGGUGACAAACCGGAGGAAGGUGGGGAUGACGUCAAAUCAUCAUGCCCCUUAUGAUUUGGGCUACACAUGUGCUACAAUGGACAAUACAAAGGGCAGCGAAACCGCGAGGUCAAGCAAAUCCCAUAAAGUUGUUCUCAGUUCGGAUUGUAGUCUGCAACUCGACUACAUGAAGCUGGAAUCGCUAGUAAUCGUAGAUCAGCAUGCUACGGUGAAUACGUUCCCGGGUCU
rnacentral:rRNA from 1 species